rnacentral:rRNA from 1 species
CCUACGGGUGGCAGCAGUGAGGAAUCUUGCUCAAUGGGCGAAAGCCUGAAGCAGCGACGCCGCGUGAAGGAUGAAGGUCUUCGGAUUGUAAACUUCUGUUAAGUGGGAAGAAAUCUCUAUCUCUAAUACAGAUAGAGGAUGACGGUACCAUUAGAGAAAGCACUGGCUAAUCUCGUGCCAGCAGCCGCGGUAAUACGAGGGGUGCAAGCGUUAUUCGGAAUUAUUGGGCGUAAAGGGUGUGUAGACGGCAUGUUAAGUCAACUGUUAAAUUCCUCGGCCUAACUGAGGGUAUGCGGUAGAAACUGGCGUGCUAGAGGGUGAGAGAGAGAAGUGGAAUUCUCGGAGUAGCGGUAAAAUGCGUAGAUCUCGAGAGGAACACCGAUGGCGAAGGCAGCUUCUUGGCUCACUCCUGACGUUGAGGCACGAAAGCGUGGGGAGCA